ACUCCUACGGGAGGCAGCAGUGAGGAAUAUUGCACAAUGGGCGCAAGCCUGAUGCAGCCAUGCCGCGUGAGUGAUGAAGGCCCUAGGGUUGUAAAACUCUUUCAGCGGUGAAGAUAAUGACGGUAACCACAGAAGAAGCCUCGGCUAACUCCGUGCCAGCAGCCGCGGUAA
rnacentral:rRNA from 1 species